UAAUAUGCUAUGUACAUAUUCUUAUAUAUUCAACCAAUAAGGUAGCUAUAAUGAAUAUAAUCAUUCGUUUUUAGUUCGUAGAACUAUUCUAAACUCUUCUAAAUCAACGAAGACUGGAAAAAUAUUAUAGAGAUUGGAAUCUCUAAUUAACUUUUGUGUAGCAAACUUAUAAUAAUUCCAAGGUCAGAGUUGCACUCGUGCGAAGCGUUGCACUCAAAACUGGAGUGUAAAAUGUCCAUGGAAGAAUGAGCUGCUCUUGUGUCGCACUAUGUAGGCGACACUAUUUCGCUCACUAAGUUCAGAUAUCGUUUUUCACCGUGUAUAUCUCACGGACAGUGCUGCAAUGUUGCCAUCUUAAUGCUGACACGUCGUCUUUCAAGGCUCAAGAGCUCUGAUUACUCUUUCUCUGAUCGCUCUCAAGUUUGAUAUACAUAUACAAUGUAUAUACUAUAAAUCGUUGCUAUAAAUCCUACUAUAACUUUAUGAGGCGUAAAAGACAAAUCCAGAUGUCAGAUAUGAGAAGAAUGGAAAACGGGUUUUAGCUUACAAGGAACUUAAUCGAGACAACGUUGUUCCGAAACGUGUUAGAUCGGCCACCGGGAAAAGAUUAAAAGCAACAAUUUGAAUAAGAAGCUUAACACGGCCGACACAAUAGUAAUUCCGCGCAAUUUACAUACUUAAGCGCCGGCUGAAACAGGUCACCGCGUCAUUACGUAAAUACUCCGGAGAAAGAGGGCGUUUCACGCGGAAAUAGUGGUAUAGUCGUUAACAAGUUGUACACAUAGUGUGAAUAGAAUAGAAAAGUACAUGUACUAUUUCGAUUAAUCGAUUUUAUUUGGAUAUUUUAUAAGAAAUUUGUUUUAUAAUUUUUAUAAUUGAUCAUUUUUUAAAGCAUGGGCUUGCAAUCUGUGAAUCAUGAUCCUCAAAAGGAUUGCAAAAUAAUUUCAAAUAUUUAUAAUGAAAAUUUCCAUAUAAAUGAUUUAUCGUUUAUUGUGGAUGAUAUUAAAAAAAAUAUCAAAGAUCUUUCUAAUUUCCAUUGAAUCUGAUUUAUUCUUAAAAAUAAAAUUAAAGAUCAAUCUCUAAUAAAUUCUACUUUCUUCCAGAAUAAUUUUCACUCAAUAAUAAUCCAUGACAUCAAAAUCAUUCCGCCUUUGCAUCUAAUCUAUCUUAACAUUCGUUAAGAUGAUCCUCUCUGAUGGCAAGAUCACCAAGGACUGCUAUUCAACAAACAGGAAACAAAGAAGAAAGAGACAAAUGGUCUAAUAGCGAAUAGAAGCGUGUAUCGGGGGAAGUUUACCUUGAUUUGGGGAGAGUGCACGUCAUAGGGUCGAGGCUACGAUAUAACUACGUCAGGAUUCGUAAACUGGGUCAUUGGGGCAUUCGAGUGCAUUUAUAUGCAUAUGCAUAGAGUAUGACCUAGAUUCGGAACGGGUGCGCGCGACCGUGCUCGCCCUUCGCCUGAAAGCGUUGUGUGCGUCCGUCAAAGAAGCUCGUCGAAAAAUACGAGCCAGGUUCCGUGAAUGUAUGUCGAUACCAUCGGGACUUCCGAGUGAGACAGAGCGGGAGAGUCAAGCGGCGGUUGCUACUGUGCAUCAUCAUCCCUCUAUGUCUGUAUUCUCCAACCAUUUUUUGAAUUGCGACCUCCUUUUGUGAUGUUCGAAUAAUUUGCAACCUCCUAUUUUCUUUAUUAAGAGAAAUUUAAAAACUUAAAAUUUUACAUGACUUUAUUAUAGCAAAAUGAUUAGUGAUACUGUUUUUUUUUUUUUUUUUUGAAAUUAAAUAACGAGAACUGUUAAUCUGAUACUGCUAUAUAAUAUGAUUAUGCAAUUGUAUUAAAAUAAAUAAUCAUUGAAAGUCAUUAAAUGAAAAUGAGCAGCAGUAAUUACAUCCUACAAAUUAUCUUGCAAGUCACGAUUCACGUUAAGAAAUAUUAUUUUAUGAGAACAAUUUAAUGAUUUUAAAAUAUUAUACUAGAA